rnacentral:rRNA from 1 species
AUUGAACGCUGGCGGCAUGCCUUACACGUGCAAGUCGAACGGCAGCACGGGUGCUUGCACCUGGUGGCGAGUGGCGAACGGGUGAGUAAUACAUCGGAACAUGUCCUGUAGUGGGGGAUAGCCCGGCGAAAGCCGGAUUAAUACCGCAUACGAUCUACGGAUGAAAGCGGGGGACCUUCGGGCCUCGCGCUAUAGGGUUGGCCGAUAGCUGAUUAGCUAGUUGGUGGGGUAAAGGCCUACCAAGGCGACGAUCAGUAGCUGGUCUGAGAGGACGACCAGCCACACUGGGACUGAGACACGGCCCAGACUCCUACGGGAGGCAGCAGUGGGGAAUUUUGGACAAUGGGCGAAAGCCUGAUCCAGCAAUGCCGCGUGUGUGAAGAAGGCCUUCGGGUUGUAAAGCACUUUUGUCCGGAAAGAAAUCCUUGGCUCUAAUACAGUCGGGGGAUGACGGUACCGGAAGAAUAAGCACCGGCUAACUACGUA